rnacentral:lncRNA from 1 species
AUUAUGCCUAAAACAAUGCUUGGAACUUAAUAGGUACUCAAUAUAUGUUGGCUGAUUGGAAUAAAUAGAAUUGUUGAAUAGGAAUCCAUUAUAUUUUGGAUUAUUUUGGCAGAGCUUUGCCCAUUCUUCUUAUAGCUUGAACAUUGUAGUUUCUCUGCAAGGAAAAUUGUUCAACAGUGCUAUUCUCAAAUGGACUCUCCCAUUUGCAGGAACAAAGAAAACUUAAUUUUCAGCAUUUUCCAUGAGAGCCCAGGAAUGGCACAAAGUUUCUUAUACUCUUGAUGGAAAGGCCACUAAUAGUUCUAAGUAAAUACUUUUAUUUCUAAUCAAAACUUUCUUUUCUGAACAUUUGCCCUCACAUUAUUCAUUUAUUCACCCAAGAAAUUAUUUGGAAGCCCCAAGGUCUCAUUGUUCUUCCCUGCAUUUAUUUUAUGGUAUCAAAGGUUAAAGCUUGGAUUGCAAUCUUAGGAGGAAAUUAAUUCACUGAUUACGAAAAAUGCACUUUAAGCAAUACACAUUUAAAUAACAGACAAGCAUAGGGCGAUGUAUUUCUGGUUUUUCUGAAAGACCCUUUUUUUCUGCUUAAAAUUUUAAGCAGCUGCGAUUCUUCCACCCUACAGCCUGGAGAAACAUAGCAGGAAUUACUAAUAAGGGCACCGAUCUACACUGCAGUGACCACUUUCAGAACAAAAGGGUCAGAACUGAAACCAGGAAAACAGCAGCAUUUUUUAUCAACCAGUUGCUUGAAGCACAUUUAGACCUUGGCUCUACUUGAAAAUAUUUUGCAAUAGUCUAUCCUCCUUCCACUGAAGGCACUUGGCCCCGAAGACUCCACUUUCAAUGAAGAAAUGUUCAUUUAUAUACUACCUGCAAUCCUCAACAAAAAUUUUCCUCCUCUUUGGAAACCAGAACCCCACGAAUUUAUGAGAUAUAUGAAAGAUUUAAUUUUCUCUUUACUGAGCUUUUGCCUGGUAGCUUUACCAAAAUCAGUACCGAGAAAGGCAUUGGAAUAGAGCAGCCCAAGAACAGAGAUGAUCUUCAGGAAAGUAUCCCUGAAAGACCAAAGUUGUGGCUUGUGUGUCUUCCCCUGGAGCAGCACAGAGGAGGGAAUUUUCUCCUGACCUGGGCGCGUCCUGCCCCCUCCCCACAUUCUCCUGCCUAACACGAAGGGAGGUUUUAAAAUAAAUAACAGGUUUUGCAAAAUAGAAGGAAAGAAGGAGGAAGAGGGAGAAGAGAAAGUCAUUGAGAGCUCCAGUAGGGUUGAGGGAGGAGAAAAGACAGUUCGCUUAUUAUAUAUGAACAUUUUGUUUUUCUUUCCUCACCUUUGGGUCCUGGUGCUAUAGUGUGUGUGGCACAGACUUCAGUGGUAGGACGACUCUCCAUGUCCAGACCCAGACUCUGAAUUUGCAAAAGAAAAAGCACCAGAAGGAUGAACUGGUUUCUUCCAAGUAGGGCUCCAAAGCCACUCAUGGCUGUGGUUCUUCAAAAAUGAUUGCCCAGAAGUGCCAAACAAGCAGCUUUAUUUUAAAUAAAACGUCUGCUUUGGGGAAGAAGGUAGUGUAUCUGGAGCACACAUUCCAAAAAGGGCUACAAAGACAAGAAGAAAGCAUAUCCUAGGUUGUUUAUUUUCUCAGUGCUCCAAAUGGACCAUACAUUAUCCAGACUGUUUAUUUUCAAGUGACAACAGUUUACUGAAAAUUAUCUCUGAGCUAAACACUCAAGUGUGCAGGUCAGUAGAAACAACCUAGAGAGCAGAGAGGAUAGAGAUGCCUUCUGCUCAGUACAUGAGCUGACAACUUAAUAUCCUAUGUUGCAUUUCUAUGUUGGGUUCCAGAAAGAUGGUGUCAGAGACUGCUUGAAUCACCUGCAUGACAUGGAAGCACUGUGCAGGGCUUUGAGCUUUUUCUUAAGGAAAUAUUCAUUACCUGUUGGCGGCAGCUGAAAGCUAGGGCUCCCAGUGUUCUUCAUGACCUUAUUUCCUUCUCUCAUUACAAAGAGUUGUCUUGGGAUUAAACCCCCGAGGAAUGAACAGCAGCUUUUCUACAAAGCAAUUUGGCAAUAAGUACCAAGAAUAUUAAAAAUGUUUAUAGCCUUUGGUCCAGUUAUUGCCUUUCUGUUACACUAUUUUAAGAAAAUGUUCUGAAAUGUGGACAAUAUUUUAUUCGAGAAAAUGUGGCAAAAAGAGGAAGGGACAUCAAUUGCCUAACAAUACAUUAUGGCUGGCAAAUCAUAGUAAAUAAACAUAUGAGAGAGUAUGACAUGACAAUUUGACAACAUUAUUAAAAUGAUGUUUGUAGUAAGUUUUUGCUAAAAUGGGGGGGAUUCUAUAGUAUUAUAUUUCUUUUUUUUUUUUUUAAGUUUAUUCAUUUAUUUUGAGAGAGAGCGGGGGAAAAGAGAGAAAAUCCCAAGCUCCAUGCUGUCAGCGCCGAGCUCAAUGUAGGGCUAGAACUAAUGAACCGCGAGAUCAUAACCUGAGCUGAAAUCGAGUCAGACACUUAACCGACUGAGUCAACCAAGUGCCCCUAUUACUGUUGCUUAAAAAUCAGGACCUUAUCCUGAUAAGGGCUAAUGAAGAAUUAUUUCUAAAAGAUGUCAUUACAAGUAAUGCUCAAUGUAAGAAAUACAGGCGUAUUCGUUUUUUAGGGCUGCUGUUAACAAAGUGCUGCAAGCUGAGUGGUUUAAGCAAACAAAAAUUUACUUUUUCAUAGUUCUGGAGGCUGGAAGUCUAAGACCAAGGUGUUGAUAAAGCCAUGCUUGCUCUGAAGACACCAGAAAAGGAUCUAUUCCAAGCCCCUCUCCUAGUUUCUGGUAUUUGCUUGGCUUGUGACAGUACAACUCCAGUCUUCUCACAGCUUUCUCCCUGUGUGUUUCUCGAUGUCCAAAUGUUUCCCUUUUUAUAAGCCUACCCAUUCUUAGUGGAUUAGGGCUGCCCCCCAAUGAUCUCAUUUUAACUUGAAUACCUCUUAUAAUCCUAUCUCUGAAUAUGGUUAUGUUAUAAGGUACUAGGAUUUAGGACUUCAACAUAUGAAUUUUUUUUUUUUUGUCUGGAAAGACACAAUUCAACCCCUAACAAAAGGUUUAUCAUAUGACAUAACUGGACCUUUUUAUUAGCAAUACGAAGAGAGGGAGGAAAGGGAACUGGCAUUAAUCGAAUAGUCAUUAUGUGCAAAAUAGGGUUGAUCUCUUAAGUGUAUCUUUUUUAAGCCUUAAGAUAGCCCUGUGGCAUGCCCAUUUUGCAGACAAAGUACUUGAGGUUCAAAAAGAUAAGCAUUCUGUUUAACAUCACUGUGAAGGUUAAUUUUAUGUAUCAACUUGACUGCAUCAUAGAGUGCCCAAGUAUUGGGAUAAACAUUGUUUCUGGGCUGCAUGUGUCACUGUUUCCAGAGGAGGUUAGCAGUGGAAUCUGUAGACUGUGUCAAGCAGAUUUCCCUCCCCAAUCCAGGUAGGCCUCAUCCACAUCACUGAGGGUUUUACUAGAACAAAAAGGUAGAGGAAGGAAGAAUUCCCUCUCUGCCUCAUUGGUGAAACUGAGAUUUCGGUCUUUUCCUGCACUUGGAUUGGAGCCCACAGCAUCAUCUCCCUGGGUCUUGGGCCUUUGCACCUAGACUGAACUUAACACCAUUACUUCCCUGAUUCUCAGGCUUUUGGGCUUGGACUGAAACUAUGCCACCAGCUUUCUCAGGCCUCCAGCUAGCAGAUGGCAGAUCAUGGGACUUCUCAGCCUCCAUAAUCAUGCGAGCCAAUGUCUUAUAACAAAUCCUUCCAUCUCUCAAUUUAGAGAUAAUACUGAUGUAUACAGAAUAUGGAUAUCGAUACAGACAUAUCUUGAUGGUUCUGUUUCCUUGGAGAACUCUGAUUAAUAGUCACCAAUUGAAAAAGGGACCAAAAAAGGAGUGCCGGGGUGGCUCAGUGGGCUAAGCGUUGGACUUCAGCUCAGGUCAUGAUCUCACAGUUGAUGAGUUGGAGCCCCAUGUCAGGUUCUGUGCUGACAGCUCAGAUCCUGGAGCCUGCUUUGGAUUCUGUGUCUCCCUCUCUCUCUACCGCUACCCUGCUAGCGCUCUGUUUCUCUCUGUAUCUCUUAAAAAUAAACAUCAAAAAAAAUGAAAAAAAAAAAGAAAAAGGGACCAAAAUAAGUCUAAUACAAAUCACUUCCCCAAAUUCCUGCUUUUUAAAAUGCUACUUGUCUUCCAUAAAGGUGAAUAAGCUUAAGCUUUGAAGAUGCAUUAAUUUUCACAUAUUCUUAAAAUGUCAAAAUGGUUUCAUUUGCCAUAUUAACAGUGAUGGGAUAAUAGUGGGAAUCCAUAGAAUGGUGUGAGCAACCUCAAAUUCCACAUCUAUCAUAACCAGACAAAUGACAUAGAGCAGAACACUCAAUUUCAAUUGCUAUAAGUCAUAUAAAGUGAGUUUAGACUUGAUAUAUAGUGUAUUUUCUUAAUUCUAAGAUACUCUGAGAAUAGGUGUUAUUUAAGUUGUUUAGACUAUUCUAAAUCUAUUUCAUUUUUUUUUCAAGCAUUUCCUGGCAAACAGUGAAAUACAUUCAUUACAUUUAUAUGUAGAAAUCCACUGGUAGCAGUUUGAAGCAAAUAAUAGUUCUUAGUACUUUUCCUUGGGAUAGCCUAUGCCUAUUUUUUCCAACCUCUCCCUCGCCCCUGCUCCUUUUUUUUAGUUCAACAAUUCAUAGAGACUUCCAGAGAAGAUGGCAGAGUAAACUCACUCAUCCCACAGAUACAUCUAGAUACACUCAGUUUAAAUAACCCAGAAAAUGACCCAAAGACUGGUAGAACAGACUCUCCCCAGCUAGAUGUAGAGAAGAGGCAACAUUGAAGAGGGUGGGAAGGGCAGAGACAUGGUCAGAAGCCAAACAGACCCCCAGUACUAUCUGUGAGAGGGAGGAACACCACAGGUGUGAAGAGGGGGGAGGACCAGAUCCCACCCCAGGCACCCCAGGCAUGGGGAACUUGCAGGAAAAACAGAGGGACACAAUUUCAUGAGUUCUUUACUCAGCUACAUGCAAAAGAGUGAAACUGGACCACUUUCUUACAGCACACACAAAAAUAGAUGCAAAAUGGAUUAAAGACAUACAUGUGAGACUUGAAACCAUAAAAAUCCUACAAGAGAGCACAGGCAGUAAUUUCUCUGACAUCAGCCAUCGCAGGUCUUUCUAGAUAUUACUCCUGAAGCAAGGGGCAUGAGCAGCAUGGAGUCUGCUUAAGAUUCUCUCUCUCUCCCUCUGCCCCUCCCCUGCUCUUUCUCAAAAUAAAUAAAUAAAUAAAUAACCUUUAAAAAAUAAAUAAAAUAGAAUAGGUCAGGUGAUUGGAUAAAUGAAAAGAAGUGGUCAAAUUAUGUUAAGUGUAUUCAUUUUAGUGUGUGAAUAAUAUACCUAAUGCCCAGACAGAUACCUAAUGCCCCAAAGAAUUUCUACUGAGAUGUAAAACAAUUCAAUUGUUUUCUUUUUAGAAAAACAUGGUUUGGAAAUAGACAAUAAAACCUAUCAAGUUUUCAGCAGGUAUAAAAUUGGAAGAAGUUAAUGGUAACUCUAAAAAGACAGGACUUAGUGACUGGCUUAUGAAACUGUCUCUGUAAUUCCACAUUUUCCUGAAUGUUUUUGUCUUCCUCUUCCCAAGGCAUUGAAAUUUCAGGCUUGGUUUUGUGCUUGUCUGAAUAAAACAUUCCACUAAAGUGAAUGAUAUGUGAUAUUUCCCCACUCUUAUUCUUUGACCCGUUUUUCAUGGGGUUGAAUGGUGAGCCCAUGAAAAAUAUGCCCACAACUUAAUCCCUAGAACUUGUAAAUGUGAUCUUAGUUGGCAAAAGUGUCUUUGCAGAUGUAAUUAAGCUAAGGCUCUCAAGAGGGAAUAAUCUUGUAUUAUCUGGGUGAUGGUGACAAGUGUCCUUAGGAGACACCCACAGGAGGGACAUAGGGACAAAAGGAGAAGGUCAUGUGAAGACAGAGUCUGGAGAGGCUGAAAUUAUGCAGCUGAGGAACACUGGGAGCCACCAGAAACUAGAAGAGACAAGGAAGGGUCCUCUUAAACCUUCAGAAGGAAUGCAGCUCUGCUGAUGCCUUGAUUCACUUCAGGCCUUCAGAACUGUGAGUUCAUAAAUUUUUCUUCUUUUUAAUAAUUUUUUUAAUGUUUAAUUAUUUUGGGGGGGGAGAGAGAGAGAGAGAGAGAGAGAGCAUGAGUGGGGGAGGAGCAGAGAGAGAGAGAGGGAGACAUAGAAUCCCACGCAGGCUCCACACACACUGUCAGCACACAGCCUGGUGUUGGGCUCGAACCCAUGAACUGUGAGGUCAUGACCUGAGCUGAAAUAAAGAGUUGGAUGCUCAACUGACUGAGCCACCCAGGUGCCCCCUCAAAUUUUCUUGUUUUAAGCCAUCACAUUUGUGGUAAUUUGUUACAGGAGCCCUAGGGAAUUAAUACACCAUUCUUAUGAUAUUCAUAUACAGUUACUGGAAGGAAUGACACAUCAAAACGUUUACUCAGUGCCUGACAGAGACCGAGCAACAUCUAUUCUUGUGCAUUUAGUUGUCAUGCAUCCAGCUUAUGUGAUAUCUGGAGGGAGAUGAAAUACAUAUGAAACCAGCACAUCCUAGGCAGAACUCAGGCUAUCUUCAGGAUGGCAACAAAAUGACACACUCCUCUCCUGAAGGAAUCUCCUGACAAAUUGCUAUACUUCCAUUUUGGGCUUGGUUUUGUAUGUGUCCAUUCACAUAAGCAUCUUAUUGGACUCA